AACGUAGGAGACAAACGUUAUCCGGAGUUACUGGGCGUAAAGGGCGUGCAGGCGGCCGACUAAGUCUGGCGUGAAAGCUCUCGGCUAAACCAGGAGAGGUCGUUGGAUACUGGUUGACUAGAGGACGGUAGAGGCGUGUGGAAUUCCGGGUGUAGUGGUGAAAUGCGUAGAGAUCCGGAGGAACACCAGUGGCGAAGGCGACACGCUGGGCCGUACCUGACGCUGAUACGCGACAGCCAGGGGAGCGAACGGG
rnacentral:rRNA from 1 species